UACGUAGGUGGCAAGCGUUGUCCGGAAUUAUUGGGCGUAAAGCGCGCGCAGGCGGUCCUUUAAGUCUGAUGUGAAAGCCCACGGCUCAACCGUGGAGGGUCAUUGGAAACUGGGGGACUUGAGUGCAGGAGAGAAGAGUGGAAUUCCACGUGUAGCGGUGAAAUGCGCAGAUAUCAGGAGGAACACCGAUGGCGAAGGCAGCUUGCUGGGACGGUACUGACGCUGAGACGCGAAAGCGUGGGGAGCAAACAGG
rnacentral:rRNA from 1 species